UAAUGUGUCAGUAUAAUAUUCUUUCAAUAGCAUUCAAAAUACUCACUACAAUAUAGACACAACAAAAUUUGCUCCGUUUUUUCUAUCAAUAUUUUUAAAUAUGGGAAGCGCCAAAGUAGUAAUUGUCCGCAGCACUAUUGUUAAAUCGCUUUUGGUCAAGAAUGGAAGUCAGGGCGUAAGCAUAGUCCGAAUGGUGAAGCUCAUCAAGCCCGUAAAGGAGUGUAUACCACUCUGAAGACUUCCAUAAAUAAAAUUGUGAUGAAAAUAAUAAAAUUGCAUGGUUAUGGCUGAAGUGCCUUAUAUAUUUCCAAUUUUAUAGCAUCAGAGAGAUCAUAUUCAAAUCAAGAAUAAUCAAUUUUUUAAGAGAAAUAAAAAGUAGGAAUCGUUAACCACUGUGCCUGGCACAACGACGAACAACUUCAUUCAGUUUCAGUUCACAUUAAUGCGGCGUGAAUUAAGUGUCAAGGACAUUUUUUGGUUUUGCUGCCAACGACGCAACAUGUUUCAGUCUCUGGUGCUCGCUGCCUCUACUGCCGGCAUGUCCUUGCCCCGCCAUCAGUGGGUGGUGUUAUGUUUGUCAUGUGUCCUUGCGUCUGUGUGUGUGUUUGUGCUUUGGGUGACCGAAAAUGCGUUGCAACAUUCAAAGAAAGAAAGGACAUUCAGAGGAACAGUAAAUCAUCGUCAUCAUCAUCAUCAUCAUCAUGAUUGGGGGCACGAAAGGACAUCUACACACGCAGGCAGGCAGGCAGGCAUCGGAGGCAGUUAUGGCUGUCAAGAUGAAUGCCAUAUCAUCGCCGCACCGAAAACGGUGUCAAAACGUCACCAACGGCGGUUCAGCCCUUCAGCAGUAAAACUGCAAACAGAAAACAGGACCUCCACCGUUGUUAUCCGGAUGAAUUAUGAUUUGUGCUCCCAGCCGUAGGAGAAGCAGGAGGAGCUGCUGACCUGACCCCCGCACGCCCACUGCAUCCCCACAAAUACUGGCAAUCUGUCACUUGGUCCUCUGAAUUUGUGGGAACAGGUUCCUCUCUCCGUUUUUGUGAAGAACCACAGAAAAAUUAAAUGCUAAACGAAGGUAUUUACAAUCCAGGAUUACUGGAUCCUGCCUGAUGCAACUUGUAAAAUUUUUAAAGUGAUAUGGAUGUUAUUGUAUCAUUGUCCUUAAAUGUAAGCCUUUUGCUCUAAAAACCAAAUCGUUUUCCAA
rnacentral:sRNA from 1 species